AUGGCCAAGAGCCCCAAGGCGACCACCAGCCGGCGGCCCACCAGAAAACCGCGGGCCUCCCCCGCUGCCGUGCCCCCCUCGGCGGACAUCGAGGACCUGGCGCCGUCGGGUGUCCUGGCGGGGCCCACCUCGGCGGCGCCCGCGCUGCGCUCGGGGUUGCUCCGGUGGUACGACGCGCACCGGCGCGACCUUCCGUGGCGAUUCUCCGCGGCGCCGGGGCGCGAGGGCAGGGAGAAGAGGGCGUAUGCGGUGUGGGUGUCGGAGGUGAUGCUGCAGCAGACGAGGGUGCCCGUCGUCAUCGAUUACUACUCCCGGUGGAUGGCGCGGUGGCCCACCGUGGAGACCCUCGCCGCCGCCACUCAGGAGGAGGUGAAUGAGAUGUGGGCCGGUCUUGGGUACUACCGGAGGGCACGCUUUCUUCUGGAGGGAGCAAACCAGAUUGUGGAAAAGGGGGAAUUCCCUAGCACAGCAUCAACACUUCGUCAGGUUCGCGGCAUCGGGGAUUACACAGCAGGCGCCAUUGCCUCCAUAGCCUUCAAUGAGGUCACCCCACUUGUGGAUGGAAAUGUUGUACGUGUUAUCAGCAGACUUUUUGCUAUUGCUGAUAACCCAAAAGAAUCAUCAACAGUAAAGAGAUUCUGGGAGCUCGCUGGUCAACUGGUCGAUCCAUCAAGGCCAGGAGACUUCAACCAAGCAAUGAUGGAACUAGGAGCAACAUUGUGCAGCAAGACUAAGCCUGAUUGCUCCCAGUGCCCUGUCUCUGGCCACUGCCAAGCGCUUGCGCUUUCCCAUGAAAAUCCGUUGGUCGGAGUUACAGACUACCCACGGGUGGUUCCGAAAGCUAAACCGCGUCGUGAUUUCGCUGCUGUUUGUGUUGUUCAAAUUGCACAAGGCUUGGAGCAAGAGACGGCAGCCGGCAAAUGUAAUUCCUUUCUCUUGAUAAAGAGGCCAGAAGAGGGCCUGCUUGCAGGGCUCUGGGAGUUCCCAUCGGUUCUUGUUGACGAACGUAAGACCGACCCGCUCAACAGGAGAAAAGAGAUGGAUAGGUAUUUGAAGCAGUUGGUUGACAUAGAUGUUGAACAGGAAUCCAAUCUGGUCCUCAGGGAGGAUGUUGGUCAGCAUGUUCACAUUUUCUCCCACAUUCGCUUGACGAUGCAUGUGGAGCUGAUGGUUCUCAAGAUCAAAGGUGAUGUGGGUCAAGUAUGCAACAAGGGACAAGGUAGCACGAAACUGAAACUUGUCGAUGAAAGUUCAAUCGAUUCCAUGGGCUUGACAUCGGGAAUUCGGAAGGUUUACAAUAUGGUGAAGGCUUUCAAGGAGAAAAAACUAUUGGAGCAAAGCCAAAUGCCCACGAGGAAAAGGAGCAGACGGCAAAAGCAGUAA
rnacentral:rRNA from 1 species